UGGUUUCCCGCACGCGAAGACACGCACAGUUCUAGUUUCUUCAUUCACAGAGGCCUGGAGAAGAAUAGACGGUCCAGGGCGGACUGGUAAACUAGCGCUGAGACCAGGGACAGGAAGUGAGCUACGCUGACAACACCUACUACGCGCUGGGUCUUGCGUUGGGCAUUAUCUUAUUUACUCCGAAAAGCGAUUGGGCGGCCUCACUAAUUCCCAUUGUAUGGUUGGGGAAAACUCAGAAAGUCACACUCAGGAAGUGACAGAGACGUGGCUUGAGCUGAGUCUGUGUGAUUUCACUGGCCCGUCAACUUUCAUCUUGAUCACAGAAUGUUCACUGUUCAACGGCAAAGAGGAAUAUUCGAGACUGACCACCUGUUCAAAGAAAAUCUAAGCGGCCUCUGCGGUUCACAUUAUAUUUACAUCGGAGAGCACCAGUGUCUAGGGGAGUGUAUUUGCGAAUUCUGGAUAAAAGCCCUCGCCCUUCCCCUUGCCGCUUUUCACGUUUCCAUAGCAACCACCUCUAUUGUAUCCGUGACUGUGAAGAGAAAUCUUGCAGAUCUGCUCGCUUCCCCCCCAAGUACCUGCAAGCCCUUCAGCGUGGCUCCCUCUGUCCUCCACGAGCCCGGCUCCCGCUCGCCUCCACCCCAGCCUCGUGGAAAGCUCGGGACCACACCCGCGCCUUUGAAUGUCUUCAUUCUGUGCAUUUCCCGCAGAGGGAUCAGCCACCUUUCCUUGCUGGUUCAGAGGACAGGGCAGACAUGGGAACACGCACACGCUCUCAUCGGGGCUUUGAAGACCCACGACACCUGAAUCCCCCACCUCCCCUCUCAGGGCCAGGCUCAGCUGGCCAUCUGGAAAGGCCAUCAGAAUGGGGCUUUAUCGUUCCCCUCCCGAAACUGUUUGAAGAGUUCAUAGCCUACAAUCCCUCCUUGGAACCGGGCAUUAUUCUCUUGAUUACACAAGCCUGACAGCCUGAUCAUAAUAAACAUGUAACUGAAGAGAACCUAUUCCUUUCC
rnacentral:lncRNA from 1 species